rnacentral:lncRNA from 1 species
AUGCCUUAUAAAAAAGCUGGGCUGCUUGCAGCCAGAACGGAAAUAAAUGCACCACAGCAGCUCAAUGUGUGCACACCUCCCUGCUUCAGUCACCCUGCUUGUCAGCACUGCUCGUCGUGCUGCAACCUGGCCUCUGCACAGCACUGGGUUAGCAUGCUCAGCUGGCCAUGUUUCCAUGUUAUGGAGCACAGAAACUACUGCUUGAUAGAAAGAAAGAAAAUGGAUUUCUCUUUAUCGACUGGUAUAUGGCUGGCAGAAGUAAAGGUAAGUUUCCUUAUGGUCAUGCCUCUGUGCUCAACCAUGAUCUGGAAGAACAUUAUAAGAGAUAAAGCAGGCCUGUCCUGCUCACCUAGGACAUGCAGAGCAGUGGAAAAACAAAACAAAACAAAACAAAACAUCAAAUUCUAAUAGACCUGCUCAAUAAAUAUUGACGUCUCUUUGAAGUCUCUGUCCUUUUUGUAAUAAAGACAGAAGUUGCAUUCAGUUUUCAUUACAAUUCUGUAAAUCUAUAAGCCUACUGGAACAGAGCUCAAAAAGCUCUGUAGUUGGUUAGGACAGGACAGAAAUUCUGCCUAAAAAGUAAAGCAGCCUCAAACCAAAAAACUAUCACCUUUUCUGAAAAAUGUUCCCAAUUCCAGGCAGUUCUAAUAUUUUCUUCUGAAACAGACUCCUUGAUCGGAAUUUAAUGAAACCAUGUCACGUGAAAUACACAGAGCACUUUAUAAAGCAUGUAAGAAUAAUAGGGUUCUGUCCUGAAGUUUAUAACAGGCAGAACAAGACAAAGGGAAAAAAAAAAAAAAGGAAGACAAAAAGAGAUUUCUAAUAAUGUAUAAGUGGAGCAAGAUAAAGCUGAGCAGCAGUGGGAUUAGUGCAGCAUGAGUUUGUUUUUAAAGUACAUCCCAUCUCUGCACUUCCACCCUCGCUGUCUGCCCCACUGCCCUGACCUUGUUCCUCCCCGUUUCAGAAAAGCUGUCCCUCCUGGUUUCCCUCCGACCUGCAUUCCUCAUAGCUGGAAUGCUCAAUAAAGACAUCAGUAAACCCAGCUUGCCUAAGAUCAGGAGACAGGGAGGGUGAUGUUAGCAAAUUAACUGAUUGGUAUAAAGCAAAAGGGGGAAAAAUGUUGUCAGGAAGCUGAGAACUUUUGAACCCAUUUAAACAAAUAAGUGGUAACAGAGCAGGCUCCUCUGUCACAAGCGCCUACUUUGCAGGAGUCAAGCCAGGGCAUGGGUGCUACAACAACCAGAUGCAGGGAACAGCUGUCAGAGAAACAGGAGACCCUGCUGUUCAAAAGGAGGACAUGAUGGGUCUCUGCUGCAUGCUAAGGGACAAUGCAGCCUCUUUGUGUGCAUCCCUAAUGAUUAUACUUUGAAGGGCCCUGGGCUGGUAAGGAAACUGUGUUAUACUAAAAAUAAUUGCAGUAAGACCUCGAGGUAUGCACAGACUCAUUUAUCUAGUAAUAGUAGCUGGCAUUCCUGCUUUUGCACCAACACUGAGAGGGUUAAUACCUUCCUCUGGCUGGCCUCCAGAGAUUUUGCUCUCUGUGGCUCCAGAUGGCUUUCAGAAAUCUCUAAAGUUUUGCUGCCCUCAUUAGUGACAGAUGUGGGAGUUAUAAUUUGAAAUUUAGGUUCACUAAAGUAAAGCAUUGUGAAAUCCCAGGAACCCGCAGAAGCACUCUUAAAUGCACCAGUGGUACAGAUCAGAGAAAACAUGUUUUCAUGUAGUGCUGAACAAGAGACUUUAUUACCAACAACAUCACUUUUCUUUCCCCCCUCCACUUUAUCUCGGACUUCCUGUGCAGUCUUCCUGAGAGCCUCCUGCUUUGCUUUUUGCUGUUCUCCAACAGCAGCAGCCCCAGGUCCUCUGGGGCUGCUGCUGUUGGAGGUGUUUGCUGUGGUGGGCAUGCAGGUAGCCAGCCUGCAGGGUUCUCUGCCAGGGCCGAGCCCUGCACACCUUCCACCAGCACAGCACCAGCCUCCUGCCUCCAGAAGUGCUCACUUCCUUGCACAGCUGGAGCCAAACACUAAUUCUGUACUGCUAUCAGCCAGUUUCAGUAAGUUUACUUCAACAAGUACCUGAAAUAACUCCAGCCAUUGCUUUUGUCACUACAGUGGGCAGAUUUUUUCAUUACCUCCAUGUAGCACAUU